rnacentral:rRNA from 1 species
AUUGAACGCUGGCGGCAGGCCUAACACAUGCAAGUCGAGCGGAUGAAGGGAGCUUGCUCCUGUAUUCAGCGGCGGACGGGUGAGUAAUUCCUAGGAAUCUGCCUGGUAGUGGGGGAUAACGUCCGUAAACGGGCGCUAAUACCGCAUACGUCCUGAUGGAGAAAGUGGGGGAUCUUCGGACCUCACGCUAUCAGAUGAGCCUAGGUCGGAUUAGCUAGUUGGUGGGGUAACGGCUUACCAAGGCGACGAUCCGUAACUGGUCUGAGAGGCUGAUCAGCCACACUGGAACUGAGACACGGUCCAGACUCCUACGGGAGGCAGCAGUGGGGAAUAUUGGACAAUGGGCGAAAGCCUGACCCAGCAACGCCGCGUGUGUGAAGAAGGUCUUCGGAUUGUAAAACACUUUAAGUAGGGAGGAAGAGAAGUAAGUUAAUACAUUGCUGUUUUGACGUUACCAAAAGAAUAAGCAACGGCUAACUUCGUG